UACGUAGGCAGCAAGCGUUGUUCGGAGUUACUGGGCGUAAAGAGUGCGUAGGCGGUUUCGCAAGUUUGGUGUGAAAUCUCCCGGCUUAACUGGGAGGGUGCGCCGAAAACUGCGGGGCUGGAGUGUGGGAGAGGUAGGCGGAAUUCCUGGUGUAGCGGUGAAAUGCGUAGAUAUCAGGAGGAACACCGGUGGUGUAGACGGCUUACUGGACCAUGACUGACGCUGAGGCACGAAAGCGUGGGGAGCAAACAGG
rnacentral:rRNA from 1 species